UACGUAGGGACCAAGCGUUGUUCGGAUUUACUGGGCGUAAAGGGCGCGUAGGCGGCGCGGUAAGUCACUUGUGAAAUCUCUGAGCUUAACUCAGAACGGCCAAGUGAUACUGCAGUGCUAGAGCGUGGAAGGGGCAAUCGGAAUUCUUGGUGUAGCGGUGAAAUGCGUAGAUAUCAAGAGGAACACCUGAGGUGAAGACGGGUUGCUGGGCCAAACACUGACGCUGAUGCGCGAAAGCCAGGGGAGCAAACGGG
rnacentral:rRNA from 1 species